GACGAACGCUGGCGGCGUGCUUAACACAUGCAAGUCGAACGGAAAGGCCCUGCUUUUGUGGGGUGCUCGAGUGGCGAACGGGUGGGUAACACGUGAGUAACCUGCCCUUGACUUUGGGAUAACUUCAGGAAACUGGGGCUAAUACCGGAUAGGAGCUCCUGCUGCAUGGUGGGGGUUGGAAAGUUUCGGCGGUUGGGGAUGGACUCGCGGCUUAUCAGCUUGUUGGUGGGGUAGUGGCUUACCAAGGCUUUGACGGGUAGCCGGCCUGAGAGGGUGACCGGCCACAUUGGGACUGAGAUACGGCCCAGACUCCUACGGGAGGCAGCAGUGGGGAAUAUUGCACAAUGGGCGGAAGCCUGAUGCAGCAACGCCGCGUGCGGGAUGACGGCCUUCGGGUUGUAAACCGCUUUCGCCUAUGACGAAGCGUGAGUGACGGUAAUGGGUAAAGAAGCACCGGCUAACUACGUG
rnacentral:rRNA from 1 species